AGCUCUUCUCCCUCCCUGGUGCUUCUCAGUUCUCACAUUUGUAUACAGAGCAGCCGUAUCCCAUCUCAGCCUUCCUUUUAAUCUCUUCUCCUGUGUCUGGCUCUCCAUUCCCCUGGUGACGCUAACAGCCCUUCUCGGCACUGGCUCCAGCUUGAACCUCGGUGACCAGAGCUGCACGCCGUAUGCUGGUACAAUGGUAUUAAUACUUCCUUCUCCCUACGGGAAUUAUCGCAUCUGACACAUCCUAGUCUUGCAUCUGCCAUUUUUAUGGCUGUGUAAAGACAAACAGGGAGAGCCUCAAGCAGAUGAACGAAACCAGUAACUGGAGUUCUCCAAGACGUUUUGUCCACAGUCAGACUGGGGGGAUGUGGCCAGUCACUGGUAAGAAGCUUCCUCUUCUCCUUCGUGUGCUCGUCCCCUCCGAAGCAGUGAGCCACACGUACGGGGAGCUGAGUCUCGGAGUACUGUAGGUGAACGGUGACUGGAGGAUCUCUGCCAAAAACAGCAUCCAAGCUAGAGGACUCCACGAGAGCUUUGUACAGAUGUGGGCCAAGCGCCAGGACCGAAGUAUCAGGCUCUUCUGUACAGACUCUGCCCACCACAGCUGCACCAGGUUGAGCAGUCCCUGCAGCUCUGCUUGCCAGGAGCUAUCACCAGUAACAGAUAUUUUCAGAGGACAUCUGGUAAAAUGUCCGUAACCAGUUCCCAAGCGUCGGUCACGCUCCUGGAACGGAUACAACUGAAGGGACAUUUAGCAAAUGAGUGAUGGCUCUUAGUCUCAACUGCAGACAAAGACACAAACUACGUUGGUGUUCGAGAGCGUUCGAGUCCGCCGUGUUGGCCAGGCCCAUUAUGGAGAUCCAGGCCAGAUGCGAAGCAGAUCUGCGCAGAACUUUGUUUCGACGAACUACUCCAAAGGUUUGAGAAGGUUUCAAUUUCACUUACAAGACAAGAAUUACUAUUUAAAUGAUCACGGUGCCUGUUACCCCGCUGGCUUGGUCUCUAAGAACUUCACCAGUCUUGGUAUUUUCAUUUCUAAAAUAAACUCCUGCAGCCUGGAGAAAGAUUAGCAGGGAAUCCAGCUCACUCCGCUUCCUGCUGUUUUGUCUGGCAGCAUGAUUUAGAAACACGUACAUUUUUAAAGCCACCUGGAGCAGUCUUUGUAUGAGCUCUUUCAGGGCUAAGAAUUCAGCAGCCAAUAGUCAAGCCUCUUUUUUCUUUUUUUACUUUCAAAAGCUCUUUGGACACGUAUCAAAAGGGACCAGAUUUAAUAGCAGCUUGUCAUGUAAAUCCAGCCCAGACAAUAUCUCCAGAUGUUGCAGCUGUCUUCAUGCCUACCACUUUGGCAAACAAAAUCACAAGCAAAAAUCAUCCACAAGCAUAACGCCCCCAUCGAAUCCCCCAGGCCUCCUAAGCCUCCUCUCUAUACAUUGAAUAGAAGUUUAUACGGGCUGUUAGGAUCUCUCUCGUCAUUGCUGUUCUGAGGGACAUUGCUCCUGGUAGGAACAAUGCUUCCAAACUGGUCCUUGGGCACUGGGAUCACACGUUUCCUGCUACUCCAGCCCCAAAUAAGUUCUGAGGACUGGUCCCCAGUGCUCACAUUUUACCUGAAGAUAAAGCCACACUGAAGAAAAACCAUACUCUUGGGAUUUAGGAGCGUGUAGGAGAGGUGAACUGUUGGUACUCACAUUGUUUGACUGAGUGCUUUAAAAAAGAAAGUUAAGGAUUCCUCUGAAUCUUCAAGCCAUAUAAAACGCUGCGGCUUCUAACGAAGAGUUAACACUGGAGCUCAUCAUGCUCCCUGGAGCCAUUUACGAUAUGGUUUUUCAUCACAUGGAUCUCAACCUUCCUGCUGACUCCUAUAUAUCUCCUGGACACCAUAGGCGUGCUCUAAAGCCUGAGGCACCUGGUCUGCAGAGGAAGGACAUCUGGUCAAAGCUAUCAUCUUUAUUAUUCUUUUUUUUAUAUCAGGAUUGCUGAUUUGCUUGAUAAGUGCAACUGUCCUGAUACAGAAUGCUGUAUUUUUCCACAGUAUUUGGUGAGGUACCACAUAUAAUUUCAAUUUAAAUCUUGAAUGAACUGGGCACAUAUUAAAGGGAUUAAAAAUUUGCUCCUGAGAGAUCUCCUAAUGUAGUUGUCAAUCAAGUGAUAUAAAUGAGUGGGGUUGCCUCAAGUGGGGCUCCCCGAGGAUUGAU